GAUGAACGCUGGCGGCGUGCUUACACAUGCAGUCGAACGAAGCACUUAUCUUUGAUUCUUCGGAUGAAGAGGUUUGUGACUGAGUGGCGGACGGGUGAGUAACGCGUGGGUAACCUGCCUCAUACAGGGGGAUAACAGUUAGAAAUGACUGCUAAUACCGCAUAAGACCACAGAGCCGCAUGGCUCGGUGGGAAAAACUCCGGUGGUAUGAGAUGGACCCGCGUCUGAUUAGGUAGUUGGUGGGGUAACGGCCUACCAAGCCAACGAUCAGUAGCCGACCUGAGAGGGUGACCGGCCACAUUGGGACUGAGACACGGCCCAAACUCCUACGGGAGGCAGCAGUGGGGAAUAUUGCACAAUGGGGGAAACCCUGAUGCAGCGACGCCGCGUGAGCGAAGAAGUAUUUCGGUAUGUAAAGCUCUAUCAGCAGGGAAGAAAAUGACGGUACCUGACUAAGAAGCACCGGCUAAAUACGUGCCAGCAGCCGCGGUAAUACGUAUGGUGCAAGCGUUAUCCGGAUUUACUGGGUGUAAAGGGAGCGUAGACGGCUGUGUAAGUCUGAAGUGAAAGCCCGGGGCUCAACCCCGGACUGCUUUGGAAACUAUGCAGCUAGAGUGUCGGAGAGGUAAGUGGAAUUCCCAGUGUAGCGGUGAAAUGCGUAGAUAUUGGGAGGAACACCAGUGGCGAAGGCGGCUUACUGGACGAUGACUGACGUUGAGGCUCGAAAGCGUGGGGAGCAAACAGGAUUAGAUACCCUGGUAGUCCACGCCGUAAACGAUGACUACUAGGUGUCGGGGAGCAAAGCUCUUCGGUGCCGCAGCAAACGCAAUAAGUAGUCCACCUGGGGAGUACGUUCGCAAGAAUGAAACUCAAAGGAAUUGACGGGGACCCGCACAAGCGGUGGAGCAUGUGGUUUAAUUCGAAGCAACGCGAAGAACCUUACCUGCUCUUGACAUCCCGGUGACCGGCGUGUAAUGACGCCUUUUCUUUGGAACACCGGUGACAGGUGGUGCAUGGUUGUCGUCAGCUCGUGUCGUGAGAUGUUGGGUUAAGUCCCGCAACGAGCGCAACCCUUAUCUUCAGUAGCCAGCAAUUCGGAUGGGCACUCUGGAGAGACUGCCAGGGAUAACCUGGAGGAAGGUGGGGAUGACGUCAAAUCAUCAUGCCCCUUAUGAGCAGGGCUACACACGUGCUACAAUGGCGUAAACAAAGGGAAGCGAGCCUGCGAGGGUAAGCAAAUCUCAAAAAUAACGUCUCAGUUCGGAUUGUAGUCUGCAACUCGACUACAUGAAGCUGGAAUCGCUAGUAAUCGCGAAUCAGCAUGUCGCGGUGAAUACGUUCCCGGGUCU
rnacentral:rRNA from 1 species